rnacentral:lncRNA from 1 species
GCCUGUCUUACUAAACUCCUUCUCAUUUCCAUGAAAAUAUGAUGGAGGACAAGAUGCUGAGUGGUUUUGAUCUGGAACAAUGAAUAUCCUUUAUUCUAACCUGGGAAUUUAGCUCAGGAACAGGAACUUUAGGGCUGCAAUCAGGAUUCCAAAGGCAUUCAAGUGCACAGUUAGUUUCUGUUACUCAACACUGUUCCAUAUCAGUGUUUUAUUUUCUUUAUUUCAUCUUGGCUUUGUUUUGGUUUAUCCGAUUUAAUUUCUCCAAAAGAAAAUAAGCCCCAAACCUCCCAGUUAAUGCAUUGAGUUGACAUUAUCUUAUUGGAAAUGACAGUCUGACCACUCAAUAGCCCCAAGCCCUGGCAGAACCCUCAAAUCCUGGACAUCUCAGUGGGAGCAGGAAAAAGAACAUUUAAAAAAUAACUUCAUUUAAGAAAUGAAAUGAAGAAUUCUUUAAGAAGAGGUGAUCCCUUAAAAGUGGAGAGGAGCUCUCUUGUUUUAGUCCAACCAUCAGAAGAAAAGGGAUUAAAGCCACCACACAGCAUCAGAUCUGUCUCUGAUACAAACAUCCAUUUCAUGGGAGAUAGAGCCAAAGACUGGACUCCGAGCUUACAGUUUUCUCAAUAG